rnacentral:rRNA from 1 species
AUUGAACGCUGGCGGCAGGCCUAACACAUGCAAGUCGAGCGGAUGAAGGGAGCUUGCUCCUGGAUUCAGCGGCGGACGGGUGAGUAAUGCCUAGGAAUCUGCCUGGUAGUGGGGGAUAACGUCCGGAAACGGGCGCUAAUACCGCAUACGUCCUGAGGGAGAAAGUGGGGGAUCUUCGGACCUCACGCUAUCAGAUGAGCCUAGGUCGGAUUAGCUAGUUGGUGGGGUAAAGGCCUACCAAGUCGACGAUCCGUAACUGGUCUGAGAGGAUGAUCAGUCACACUGGAGCUGAGACACGGUCCAGACUCCUACGGGAGGCAGCAGUGGGGAAUAUUGGACAAUGGGCGAAAGCCUGAUCCAGCCAUGCCGAGUGUGUGAAGAAGGUCUUCGGAUUGUAAAGCACUUUAAGUUGUGAGGAAGGGCAGUAAGUUAAUACCUUGCUGUUUUGACGUUACCAACAGAAUAAGCACCGGCUAACUUCGUG